CCUACGGGAGGCAGCAGUGAGGAAUAUUGGUCAAUGGACGAGCGUCUGAACCAGCCAAGUAGCGUGAAGGAUGACUGCCCUAUGGGUUGUAAACCUCUUUUAUAUGGGAAUAAAACGUUCCACGUGUGGGCUUUUGUAUGUACCCUAUGAAUAAGGAUCGGCUAACUCCGUGCCAGCAGCCGCGGUAAUACGGAGGAUCCGAGCGUUAUCCGGAUUUAUUGGGUUUAAAGGGAGCGUAGGUGGAUUGUCAAGUCAGUUGUGAAAGUUUGCGGCUCAACCGUAAAAUUGCAGUUGAAACUGGCAGUCUUGAGUACAGUAGAGGUGGGCGGAAUGCGUGGUGUAGCGGUGAAAUGCUUAGAUAUCACGAAGAACUCCGAUUGCGAAGGCAGCUCACUGGACUGCAACUGACACUGAGGCUCGAAAGUGUGGGUAUCAAACAGGAUUAGAUACCCCUGUAGUC
rnacentral:rRNA from 1 species